rnacentral:rRNA from 1 species
GUGCCAGCAGCCGCGGUAAAACGUAGGAGGCGAGCGUUAUCCGGAUUUACUGGGUGUAAAGCGCGAGCAGGCGGUCUUGUAAGUGGUGUGUGAAAGCGCUCUGGCUCAACCGGGCGAGGACAUGCCAGACUGCGAGACUGGAGGCAGGUAGAGGCGAGUGGAAUUCCGGGUGUAGUGGUGAAAUGCGUAGAGAUCCGGAGGAACACCAGUGGCGAAGGCGACUCGCUGGGCCUGACCUGACGCUCAGACGCGAAAGCAUGGGGAGCGAACGGGAUUAGAUACCCCUGUAGUCC